AGACAACAAAAUGUUUAAUAUUAUUAUUUUGUCACCUUAGGUCGAUCGGUAUCUCACAUUCUUAAUUUAUUAAGAAUUUCAUUUCCUAAGUUUUUCUAGGUCACACCCAUUAUUUUUCCUGGGCCAUUAGCUCAGGUGGUUAGAGCGCACCCCUGAUAAGGGUGAGGUCCCUGGUUCAAGUCCAGGAUGGCCCAUAUCUCUAUGUUGGGGGUAUAGCUCAGUUGGUAGAGCGCCUGCUUUGCAAGCAGGAUGUCAGCGGUUCGAGUCCGCUUACCUCCACUGAUUACCACCUCUUCCAUAACCGGUAGAAAGGAAAUGUUUUGAGUUGUGAUCAUUAUUCUGAACGAAUCUAGCUUCCUAAUGAAAACAUUAAGAUGCUGGACUCAUUGAAUUAAUUUCAUUGUUUUCAGAGAACCUUGACAACUGCAUAGAUUAUUUUUAAAGACAAUAAGCAUCUUUAAUGAUGCAGAUUUAUUAUUUGUGCGAAUGCAUUAAUAACAAUUCUAUUAAGCUGAUGCUUCAAUUUUUGAAGUUAUU
rnacentral:tRNA from 1 species